AGUGGCGGACGGGUGAGUAACGCGUAAGAANCUAACUUCAGGACGGGGACAACAGUUGGAAACGACUGCUAAUACCCGAUGUGCCGAAAGGUGAAACCUAAUUGGCCUGAAGAAGAGCUUGCGUCUGAUUAGCUAGUUGGUGGGGUAAAGGCCUACCAAGGCGACGAUCAGUAGCUGGUCUGAGAGGAUGAGCAGCCACACUGGGACUGAGACACGGCCCAGACUCCUACGGGAGGCAGCAGUGGGGAAUUUUCCGCAAUGGGCGAAAGCCUGACGGAGCAACGCCGCGUGAGGGAGGAAGGUCUUUGGAUUGUAAACCUCUUUUCUCAAGGAAGAAGUUCUGACGGUACUUGAGGAAUCAGCCUCGGCUAACUCCGUGCCAGCAGCCGCGGUAAUACGGGGGAGGCAAGCGUUAUCCGGAAUUAUUGGGCGUAAAGCGUCCGCAGGUGGUCAGCCAAGUCUGCCGUCAAAUCAGGUUGCUUAACGACCUAAAGGCGGUGGAAACUGGCAGACUAGAGAGCAGUAGGGGUAGCAGGAAUUCCCAGUGUAGCGGUGAAAUGCGUAGAGAUUGGGAAGAACAUCAGUGGCGAAAGCGUGCUACUGGGCUGUAUCUGACACUCAGGGACGAAAGCUAGGGGANCGAAAGGGAUUAGAUACCCCUGUAGUCCUAGCCGUAAACGAUGGAUACUAGGCGUGGCUUGUAUCGACCCGAGCCGUGCCGAAGCUAACGCGUUAAGUAUCCCGCCUGGGGAGUACGCACGCAAGUGUGAAACUCANGGAAUUGACGGGGGCCCGCACA
rnacentral:rRNA from 1 species